rnacentral:sRNA from 1 species
GCCAGGCAUAGUGGUGCAGGCUUGUAAUCCCAAUGGCUUGGGAGGCUGAGGCAGGAGGAUCACAAGUUCAAAACCAGCCUCAGCAAUUUAGUGAGACCCUGUCUCAA